GAAUUCCACCACUGCCGAGAGGCGGAAGUGGAGUCGACAGGGGAGCGGCUGCAGUUGACCCCGCGCCUUGAGGACACGAGACUUCCUGUGUGACCUUGGGCAAGUGACUCAGUCUCUCUGUGCCCCAGACAUAAACUGAGGGUAGUACCACUGCCUGACCUCAGAGGGAGUGUUGUGAGGAUCAGUGCAUGAAAUUCUGCGAGACACUCAGAUACCGUGGUGAUGGGGGCCAUGAGACUAAUCGUGGCAUCCACAUGGAAAGGGGAUUGGUAGGGUGCACAGAAGGGAAAUGUGGCUACAUGGUAGCAUCCCCUACCCAGAUCAUGUAGUUCAAUGAGAACAGGAGGGUGCUCUCAUGGCCUUUUCACUUAGCUGCUAGCCUUCAGCAGGAGUUAAGAAGGAGAUUAGAAGUGGCUUUGCAGUUGCUGAACUUCUGAACUAACUACACCUAUUUGAUGCACAAAGCCCAUUGUCUGACACAGAGUGGAUCACUCUGGGUAUGUGGAAGGGCGAUCUAAAUCUGAAUGUGGAAUGACCAAGGCAAGAGACUGGCUCCCAAGCAGGAAAACUGAUGUAGUGGGAAAGAAGUGCUCUUGACAACCCUGAUUUCUAGUCCCCUGGCAAAGCUGGCAAUGAGGUCAACCGACAGAGGAGACUGAAAUGUUAUCAGAAAGGAAGAGCUGAUCAUUUGGGAGUCUCUAUACAUUUUGUCUUUAGCUCAAGAGGAGUGAGAACAACCCAACAUGUAGGGGCCUUCCGGAGCCCAGAUGGUCUCCCAGAGAAAGGAAUGAAUUAGUAAUGACUGUUGCUGUUCAUUCUACUGGAAAUUGGAUGUGUUGUGAAAAAGAUGGGCUAUGUCCCUAAAGAGAAGGGGUGGCAGCUGCAAUGCUCUACAGCUGCUUGCUACCAGUCCUAGGCAUAU